rnacentral:rRNA from 1 species
UACGAAGGGGGCGAGCGUUGUUCGGAUUUACUGGGCGUAAAGGGCGCGCAGGCGGUCUUGAAAGUCAGGCGUGAAAGCCCCGGGCUUAACCUGGGAAUUGCGCUUGAUACUCUGAGACUGGAGUACGGGAGAGGAGAGUGGAAUUCCCAGUGUAGAGGUGAAAUUCGUAGAUAUUGGCAAGAACACCAGUGGCGAAGGCGGCUCACUGGCCCGGUACUGACGCUGAGGCACGAAAGCGUGGGGAGCAAACAGG